rnacentral:misc_RNA from 1 species
GCAAACUUGGUCAUUUAGAGGAAGUAAAAGUCGUAACAAGGUUUCCGUAGGUGAACCUGCGGAAGGAUCAUUAUUGAAUAAACUUGUUUGGGUUGUUGCUGAUCCUUAGGAUAUGUGCACACCAGACAUCAAAUUUAUGACCACUUGUGAACUUUUGUAGACCUUGGAUAUCUUUCGAGAAGAACUCUCGGUUCAAAGAUUGCAAUUGGACAAAGCUUUCUUUACAUCUCUUGUCUAUGGUUUUUAUACAUACUCCAACAAAGUAUAGAAUGUUAUUUGAUAGGCUUUUUGCCUUUAAAUUAAAUACAACUUUCAACAAUGGAUCUCUUGGCUCUUGCAUCGAUGAAGAACGCAGC